rnacentral:rRNA from 1 species
AGAGUUUGAUCCUGGCUCAGGAUGAACGCUGGCGGCGUGCUUAACACAUGCAAGUCGAACGAAGCACUUUAAUUGAUUUCUUCGGAAUGAAGUUUUUGUGACUGAGUGGCGGACGGGUGAGUAACGCGUGGGUAACCUGCCUCAUACAGGGGGAUAACAGUUGGAAACGACUGCUAAUACCGCAUAAGCGCACAGGAUUGCAUGAUCCAGUGUGAAAAACUCCGGUGGUAUGAGAUGGACCCGCGUCUGAUUAGCCAGUUGGCGGGGUAACGGCCCACCAAAGCGACGAUCAGUAGCCGACCUGAGAGGGUGACCGGCCACAUUGGGACUGAGACACGGCCCAAACUCCUACGGGAGGCAGCAGUGGGGAAUAUUGCACAAUGGGGGAAACCCUGAUGCAGCGACGCCGCGUGAGCGAAGAAGUAUUUCGGUAUGUAAAGCUCUAUCAGCAGGGAAGAAGAAUGACGGUACCUGACUAAGAAGCACCGGCUAAAUACGUGCCAGCAGCCGCGGUAAUACGUAUGGUGCAAGCGUUAUCCGGAUUUACUGGGUGUAAAGGGAGCGCAGGCGGUACGGCAAGUCUGAUGUGAAAUCCCGGGGCUCAACCCCGGUACUGCAUUGGAAACUGUCGUACUAGAGUGUCGGAGGGGUAAGCGGAAUUCCUAGUGUAGCGGUGAAAUGCGUAGAUAUUAGGAGGAACACCAGUGGCGAAGGCGGCUUACUGGACGAUAACUGACGCUGAGGCUCGAAAGCGUGGGGAGCAAACAGGAUUAGAUACCCUGGUAGUCCACGCCGUAAACCAUGAAUACUAAGGGGUUGGGAAACAUUGCUUUCUCGGUGCCCGCCGCAAACCCAGUA